rnacentral:rRNA from 1 species
UACAGGGGGUGCAAACGUUGCUCGGAAUUAUUGGGCGUAAAGCGCGCGUAGGCGGCUACUUAAGUCGGAUGUGAAAGCCCUUGGCUCAACUGAGGAAGUGCACCCGAAACUGAGUAGCUGGAGUACGAAAGAGGGUCGCGGAAUUCCCGGUGUAGAGGUGAAAUGCGCAGAUAUCAGGAGGAACACCGGUGGCGAAGGCGCCACUCUGGGCCGAAACUGACGCUGAGGAGCGAAAGCGUGGGUAGCAAACAGG